rnacentral:rRNA from 1 species
GAAGCUGAGUAAGGGCACACGGAGGAUGCCUAGGCGGCGGGAGCCGAAGAAGGACGUGCUAAGCUGAGAAAAGCCCGGUGGAGGUGCACAGGACCUGUGAUACCGGGAUAUCCGAAUGGGAGAACCUGCAUACCUGGAGGGUAUGCGCGAGAGAGGUAAGCCGGCGAACUGAAACAUCUAAGUAGCCGGAGGAGAAGAAAGUAAAAACGAUUCCCUGAGUAGCGGCGAGCGAACGGGGAGGAGCCUAAACCGUAUAUGUGUUAAAGCUGGCGGCGUUGCAUAUACGGGGUAGAGGGAACAUACUGGACUGAUGCCAUAAGGUCGAGUUGGUCAUGAUGUAAGCGGAACGCGGCUGGAAAGCCGGACCGUAGGAGGUGAGAGUCCUGUAGAGCGUAAAGUCAUGACGGCUUGUAUGUAAUCCCGAGUAGCAUCGGACACGAGGAAUCCGGUGUGAAUCAGCGUGGACCAUAUCACGUAAGGCUAAAUACUUCCGCCGACCGAUAGAGGAGAGUACCGUGAGGGAAAGGUGAAAAGAACCCUGAGCAAGGGAGUGAAAUAGAAUUUGAAACCGUGUGCUUACAAGCGGUAGGAGCCCUUAGGGGUGACUGCGUGGAUUUUGGUUAAUCAUCCUGCGAGUUAUGAUGUGUGGCGAGGUUAAGUGUAAGCGGAGCCGAAGGGAAACCGAGUCUUAAUAGGGCGACGAGUCGCAUGUCAUAGACGCGAAACCUAGUGAUCUAGGCCUGUCCAGGCUGAAGCUGAGGUAAGACUCAGUGGAGGGCCGAACUCACCGCCGUUGAAAAGUUGGGAGAUGAGAUAGGUCUAGGGGUGAAAAGCCAAUCGAACUAGGAGAUAGCUCGUUCUCUCCGAAAUGCAUUUAGGUGCAGCCUUGGUUGAAGAUAUGCGGGGGUAGAGCACUGUAUGGCCUAGGGGGCGUAUAGCUUACCGAAGUCAAGCAAACUGCGAAUACCGUAUAUUGUUUACCAGGAGUGAGUCUACGGAUGACAAGGUCCGUGGACGAGAGGGGAACAGCCCGGACCGCCGGCUAAGGUCCCAAAUCAUGUCUAAGUGGGAAAGGAGGUGGAUAUUCACAGACAACCAGGAGGUUGGCUUAGAAGCAGCCAUACCUUGAAAGAGUGCGUAAUAGCUCACUGGUCGAGAGUAUCUGCGCCGAAGAUAUAACGGGGCUAAGACAUGAACCGAAGCCGCGGAAGCGUGGUAACACGUUUGGUAGGAGAGCGUUCUGUAGGCCGUAGAAGGUGUCCUGAAAGGGAUGCUGGAGGUAUCAGAAGUGAGAAUGCAGGAAUGAGUAGCGAGAAGGAGGGCGAGAAUCCCUCCGGCCGGAAGUCCAAGGUUUCCAGGGGAAGGUUUGUCCGCCCUGGGGGAGUCGGGACCUAAGCAUAAGCAGAGCUGCGAAGGCGAAUGGAAAACAGGUUAAUAUUCCUGUACCGCUGUGUACUGACUGAGAGAUGGAGUGACGCAGGAAGGUAUGCGGGAAGGCUGACGGAAUAGCCUUUCUAAGGGUGAAGCGUGGACAUAUAGGCAAAUCCGUAUGUUUAAACGUGAGGCCUGACGGGUAAGUGCCAUAGGGCAUAAGCCGCAGAUCCUACACUGCCGGGAAAAACUUCUAUUUAGGGAAGCAGCGCCCGUACUGUAAACCGACACAGGUGGACAGAGUGAGAAACUUAAGGCCGACAGGACAACUCUGGCUAAGGAACUCUGCAAAAUGGCCCCGUAACUUAGGGAGAAGGGGUGCCCGUGCUACCUGAAGGGGGAGACACCCGGAGGGGAAGCGGGCCGCAGUGAAGAGUCCCAAGCAACUGUUUACCAAAAACACAGGUCUAUGCUAAGCCGGAAGGCGACGUAUAUGGGCUGACACCUGCCCAGUGCCGGAAGGUUAAGAGGAGGAUUGAGAGAUUCGAAUUGAAGCCCCGGUGAACGGCGGCCGUAACUAUAACGGUCCUAAGGUAGCGAAAUUCCUUGUCGGG